rnacentral:rRNA from 1 species
UUCGGAUUGUAGUCUGCAACCCGACUACAUGAAGCUGGAAUCGCUAGUAAUCGCGGAUCAGAAUGCCGCGGUGAAUACGUUCCCGGGUCUUGUACACACCGCCCGUCACACCAUGGGAGUCGGAAAUGCCCGAAGUCUGUGACCCAACCUACGGGAGGAGCAGCCGAAGGCAGGUCGGAUGACUGGGGUGAAGUCGUAACAAGGUAGC